ACAGGUGUGGCGCAGCUUAUACAUGCAGUCGAACGGUAACAGUACUAGCAAUAGUAGCUGACGAGUGGCGCACGGGUGCGUAACGCGUAUGCAACCUACCCAUAAUUGGAACAUAACGUUGAGAAAUUAACGCUAAUAUUCUAUGUGAAUAUGAAGAGGCAUCUUUUUAUAUUUAAAGAUUCAUUGAUUAUGGAUGGGCAUGCGUAUCAUUAGCUUGUUGGUGAGGUAACGGCUCACCAAGGCGACGAUGAUUAGGGGUUCUGAGAGGAUAUCCCCCCACACUGGAACUGAGACACGGUCCAGGCUCCUACGGGAGGCAGCAGUAGGGAAUAUUGGGCAAUGGAAGCAAUUCUGACCCAGCCAUGCCGCGUGAAGGAAUACAGCCCUAUGGGUUUUAAACUUCUUUUAUUAUAGAGUAACCGGAGGUACGUGUACCUCCCUGCAAGUAUAUGAUGAAUAAGGAUCGGCUAACUCCGUGCCAGCAGCCGCGGUAAUACGGAGGAUCCAAGCGUUAUCCGGAUUUAUUGGGUUUAAAGGGUGCGCAGGCGGAUCAAUAAGUCAGGGGUGAAAAAUUUCAGCUUAACUGGAAUCGUGCCUUUGAUACUGUUGGACUAGAGUAUAAUUGACGUGACUGGAAUGUGAUGUGUAGCGGUGAAAUGCUUAGAUAUGUCACAGAACGCCAAUCGUGAAGACAGGUCACGAAAUUAUUAUUGACGCUCAUGCACGAAAGCGUGGGGAUCAAACAGGAUUAGAUACCCUGGUAGUCCACGCUGUAAACGAUGAUUACUCGUUGUUGGGCAGUGAUGCUCAGUGGCUAAGCGAAAGCGAUAAGUAAUCCACCUGGGGAGUACGAUCGCAAGGUUGAAACUCAAAGGAAUUGACGGGGGCCCGCACAAGCGGAGGAGCAUGUGGUUUAAUUCGAUGAUACGCGAGGAACCUUACCCGGGCUUGAACGUAAGACGAAUAUAUAAGAGAUUAUAUAGCCUUCGGGCGUCUUGCGAGGUGCUGCAUGGUUGUCGUCAGCUCGUGCCGUGAAGGUGUUAGGUUAAGUUCUGCAACGAAGCGCAACCCUU
rnacentral:rRNA from 1 species